rnacentral:rRNA from 1 species
GCCUUAGUAACGGCGAGUGAAGCGGCAACAGCUCAAAUUUGAAAUCUGGCCCUUGGGUCCGAGUUGUAAUUUGUAGAGGAUGCUUUUGGUGCGGUGCCUUCCGAGUUCCCUGGAACGGGACGCCAUAGAGGGUGAGAGCCCCGUCUGGUUGGACACUAAGCCUCUGUAAAGCUCCUUCGACGAGUCGAGUAGUUUGGGAAUGCUGCUCUAAAUGGGAGGUAUAUGUCUUCUAAAGCUAAAUAUUGGCCAGAGACCGAUAGCGCACAAGUAGAGUGAUCGAAAGAUGAAAAGCACUUUGAAAAGAGGGUUAAACAGUACGUGAAAUUGUUGAAAGGGAAGCGCUCGUGACCAGACUUGGGCCCGGUUAAUCAUCCACCGUUCUCGGUGGUGCACUUGGCCGGCCCAGGCCAGCAUCAGUUCGGCGUGGGGGAUAAAGGUAGCGGGAAUGUGGCUCCUCCGGGAGUGUUAUAGCCCGUUGCGCAAUGCCCUGUACCGGACUGAGGUUCGCGCAUCUGCAAGGAUGCUGGCGUAAUGGUUAUCAGCGACCCGUCU